rnacentral:rRNA from 1 species
GUAGGUGGCAAGCGUUGUCCGGAAUUAUUGGGCGUAAAGCGCGCGCAGGCGGUUUUUUAAAGUCUGAUGUGAAAGCCCACGGCUCAACCGUGGAGGGUCAUUGGAAACUGGAGAACUUGAGUACAGAAGAGGAAAGCGGAAUUCCACGUGUAGCGGUGAAAUGCGUAGAGAUGUGGAGGAACACCAGUGGCGAAGGCGGCUUUCUGGUCUGUAACUGACGCUGAGGCGCGAAAGCGUGGGGAGCAAACAGGGAUUAGAUACCCUGGUAGUCCACGCCGUAAACGAUGAGUGCUAAGUGUUAGGGGGUUUCCCGCCCCUUAGUGCUGCAGCUAACGCAUUAAGCACUCCGCCUGGGGAGUACGGCCGCAAGGCUG